GGCCGGGCCGCCGGGAGCGCUGCGCUGAGGGAGGCUGCCGCUCCCCGUCCCGCCACGAGGGGGCGCUGGGCGGGCGAGGCGGCGCGGGAGGGGAUUUGCCUCAGGCGGUGGCGCAGGGACCGAUCCGCAAGAAGCCGCUGCCGGCGGCGUGUAAAUAUCCGAGUUUGGGCCGAAAUCACCUCGGGGCCGCGGUGGCAGAGCAGGAAGGUGACACAGAGCUCUGGGGAGCGGUUCGGCCGAGCGCCGGGGCAGCAGAGGAAUGAUUUUCAAAAGGAAUCCAUGCAGUGAAUGUGAUGAACCGCCAAUCUGCCUGAUGCUACUACCCCAACUCUGUCCUUCAUCAGAUUAAGUUCUCUUCUUACUUCACUGAGAAGCAGCAGAAAGUGAACUUGCAUAGCAUACCUAAUAUAGACAAAUGAGGCAAGAGGUAUUGCUGAAAACAUUAUCAUAUGUCUUGUUCUAUGGUUAUGUGUUUACAACCAUGCCCAGUCUAGUGCAUAUUAAUACUGCUGGGACUCUGAUGAGAACUGAUUUCCUCCAAGUCACAGGGGAAAGAAGUACAAUCUUGUGGAUUUAGUCACUGCGGAAGAAAACCCUCAGCUAUACAAAUGCUGCUGCUUAGAAAAGGGGAAAAAGAAAAUGCCGAAGUAGGGGUGAUGUGGAUUUCAUACGUCGCUAGAACAGCAAUUUUUGGGGAACUAAACCUUCUCCUCCCAAUACUUACUUUAGAAAAGCACAUCAAAGGGUAAACAACUUUGAAGUAUCAGAAAACACAUAUAUUGACUUACCUAUAAGACAUUUCAGUACAAACAUUGCUUUGUAUUCUGCAUUCUUCUCAUGAAACCUGCUAAAGGAAAGUCAGAAGGAGUUUCAUAAUGAUCUCCUAUAGCUCUGGGGAAGUUAGCUGAGAAUGGGUUAUAAUCAUCUCCUAAGCCACUGUUGGAAAAGAAGCUAAGUAUGGAAAGGACCAUAGCCUUUUCCUCAAGUGUUACUGCUUUCUCUUUCCCUGUCUCAGAAAUAAAAA